UACGUAGGGGGCUAGCGUUGUCCGGAAUCAUUGGGCGUAAAGAGCGCGUAGGCGGCCCGGUAAGUCCGCUGUAAAAGUCCAGGGCUCAACCCUGGAAAGCCGGUGGAUACUGUCGGGCUCGAGUCCGGGAGAGGUGAGUGGAACUGCGAGUGUAGAGGUGAAAUUCGUAGAUAUUCGCAAGAACACCAGUGGCGAAGGCGGCUCACUGGCCCGGUACUGACGCUGAGGUGCGAAAGCGUGGGGAGCAAACAGG
rnacentral:rRNA from 1 species